GCCGUGUGGGGGGUGCCGCCGCCAUGAGCGUGGCGCUGCGGAACGCGCAGCGCGCUGUGCCCGUGCGCCGGGCCCCGCUUCGCCGCGCCGUGUGCGCCUUGCGCGCCGCCCUGGGCGCCUCCCGCUUCGACGUAGGGCUAGUCUGUGCCAGCAACGCGUUGAUGCAGCGACUGAACGGCGUCUACCGACACUGCCCGGAGCCCACCGACGUCCUCUCUUUCCCGUUCCACCAAGUGGAGGCGGGGGAGCUGCCGCGGCCGUGCUGCCGCGGCGAGUACAACCUGGGGGACAUCUUCCUGGGGGUGGAAUACAUCCACCAGCAGUGCCGCGAAACCGGGGAGGAUUUUGACGCUAUCCUGACGAUACCUGUUGUAUGAUGUAAACCCCCCUGAAGGGUUCAACCUUCGCAGAGAUGUCUACAUUCGUAUUGCUUCCCUUCUAAAGACCCUGCGGAAAAGUGAAAAUUGGGUGUUGGUUCUGCCUCCCUGGGGACGUCUUUAUCACUGGCAGAGCCCUGAUAUCCUCCAGGUCAGGCUCGCUUGGUCCGAGUUCUUUGAUAUCCCAAGCCUCAACAGGAACAUCCCUGUCAUCGAAUAUGAGCAGUUCCUUGCAGAGUCAGGUGGGCCCUUUAUUGAACAGGUUUAUGUGCUACAAGGCUAUGCAGAAGGAUGGAAAGAAGGAACAUGGGAAGAAAAAAUA